rnacentral:misc_RNA from 1 species
AGCAGAGAUGAGUUUCCAGUGGACAUUUAUAGCUACAUUUCUCUAUGUGGAGAUCUUCCUAGUGGUGCUCUUGUUACUGCCCUUUAUUUCACCAACGACAUGGCAGAAACUGUUCAAGUCUCGGUUCUUGAUGAUCAUCACGUCCUAUGCCAACUACUAUUUCACAGUGUUCAUCGUGAUCCUCAUGGUUGUGUUUGGAGAUGCUAUACGAGAGGUGUAUAAAUACUCUGGGGAGGAGAAGAUGCUGGACCCCAAGACCACGCACCACGACACUCUGGAGCACAUCCAGCUGCGUCUGUUCCGCUCCCAGCGCAAUCUGUACAUUGCAGGCUUUGCCUUGUUCUUGUGGCUAGUGUUGAAGAGAUUGGUAGUUCUGAUAUCUGCGGCUGCUACCCUCACUGCUCAGAGAGAUGUGGCCUUGAAGCAGGCAGAGAACACCUCUGCUCAUGCCAAGAAACUGAUGGAAGAGGCAGAUACUAAGAAGGCCAAUAAAGACAAUGAGGAGAAGGAUGAAGAGAGAAAGAGGACCUCCAGUGCCAGUGACAAGCUAGAGGAGGAACUGAAGAGAGUGAAGGAAGAUCUGGAGAAGUCUGAGUCAGAACUGGAGCAAUCUAAAAGGGAUUUGCAGACGUUAAAGAAGCAAGCGUCUGCCACCAACAAUGAGUAUGAUCGUCUGCUCAAAGAGCAUGCUGAACUCCAGGCUAAGUUAGAGUCAGGAGGUGAAGACAAGAAGGACCUGUAAGGGCAGUGUGACAUGGAUGUCUCUAAGUAUAUAUGACUGUUUUACAGUACUGUGGUGAAGUGAGCUGCAGUUUUAAAGGACUUACUAUUAACAGAAUACCAGCCAGGAGGGUGCAAUGAGGACCCACAUACACACACAUAAACUCCAUGUGUGUGUGUCUAUUUCUGCUUACUUGUGCUGGUUAAAACUAGUCUAAUCAAGCAAGAUAGAUAUUCAAAAUUAAAGUUUUUGUGACAAUUUUUACCCUUUUUUACCAAAAUAUUGAGGCACAUUUGCUAAAAUGAAUAUUUCUGCACUCACUGCAACUGAUAUGGAUAAUUAGAAACUUUAUCACGUUUAUGAACUAUUGCAUUUGUCAAAAAGGGGUUAAAAAUCAAAUAGGUAUAGGUGAAAUGGAACUCCAGAAAUUGCUUCUGUAAUAAAAAUUGCCAUUGUAAAAAUGUAUUUUAUUUAUAAAAGAAAAAGUAAUAUAAAGCUCUCUUGUCCUGUUUACAAAGGGAAACUUUCAGAAUGGGAGAAAAUGCUGCUUUCAGCUACUCAUUGCCCUGUAUCCAAGUGAAGGCUUUUGUUGUAAUUUUCAAGGGUUUUAUGUAAUGGAAAGAUGACAGAAAAGAAGCUAAGCCAGAUGUGGUCUGUGCUGGUUUCUUUUUAUUUGCAGCUUUGAAAAAUAUCUUGAAAUCCACAAAACUACAAUUUUACACAGUGCUCAAGAGGUUGGGGCAGGCGUGUUUGUACAAGUGAUUAACUUCAUUAUAUCUUCAAGGAUAGAAAGAAAUUAGAUUCAUAGUUUUAGAUCCAUACCUUGUCUACGGACUGACAGUUUCAUCCCCUAUUUCUGAUGUCUUGGUCACAGUAGAUGGGACUACAAGAAUUGUCCCUCUUAGCUGUGAAAUGCAAGAAUAAGUGGAAAAGGUUUGAGUCUAAAAUCUUUGAAUCUAACCUGCCUAGGGUAGAAUGGAAGUGGUGAUAAAGAACAAUGGCUAUCCACAUAGCCACAGUAGGUUAAACUGGAGGUUUAUGUUACUAAGGUAUCGUAACAAUGUUACUCAUUUAUGAAAAAGGAAAAUACUGUGGUGAGAUUUUGAUGACCAGUGAUUGAAGGUAAUUAGUAUACCGAUCCUGUAGAAAGUGUGACUUAUUAAGUUCUGCCACUCACCACAUGUGAAUGAAUGUUAAAGUAAAGUUUGGUCCAUUGUGUUUUUUUUUCAUAGCUGCAUUUUAAUGUAGUUUUGCACCAAAUUUUUUGAAUAACUUGGUUGUUAAAAAUAUUUGUAUAAAGUUUGGUUCUAUAUCAAACAAAUGCUUUUAAGAAAAUGCCUUCAGAUUUUGUGCUACCUGCCUUCCAUGUUCACUUCUUCUAGGAUGGUUUGUUACAGCAGUAUGUUACAGCUGAUGUCACUUAUGUACAGGUGCUAUGUGGGAGGUUCUUGAUAUUAUAUAUUAACAACAGAAUAGUUUCUGAACACAAUCAUGGUAUAAGAUGAAUAGAAAAUGUUUCUGAAUCAUGCAUUGAUAGUUAUGCUGUAGAAAUUGACAUGCAAAAUAAACUACAUUGAAAUGGUUUCAUCAUGUAUUAAAUAAAGCCUUGCUAAAUUA